AGUUAAUUAACUAAUAUAAAGUAUUUACUUUGAAAGUAAAAUAAAGAAAAACUCUUUCUAUUAACUU
rnacentral:tRNA from 1 species